rnacentral:tRNA from 1 species
GGUCUCCAAAACCCGAUGUCGUAGGUUCAAAUCCUACAGAGCGUG